rnacentral:rRNA from 1 species
UACCAGCACCCCGAGUGGUCGGGACGUUUAUUGGGCCUAAAGCAUCCGUAGCCGGUCCUACAAGUCUUCCGUUAAAUCCAACUGCUUAACAGGUGGGCUGCGGAAGAUACUAUAGAGCUAGGAGGCGGGAGAGGCAAGCGGUACUCGAUGGGUAGGGGUAAAAUCCGUUGAUCCAUUGAAGACCACCAGUGGCGAAGGCGGCUUGCCAGAACGCGCUCGACGGUGAGGGAUGAAAGCUGGGGGAGCAAACCGG